rnacentral:rRNA from 1 species
UACAGAGGGGGUAAGCGUUGUUCGGAAUCACUGGGCGUAAAGCGCACGUAGGCGGGUCGUUAAGUCGGGGGUGAAAUCCUGGAGCUCAACUCCAGAACUGCCUUCGAUACUGGCGAUCUUGAGUCUGGGAGAGGUGAGUGGAACUCCGAGUGUAGAGGUGAAAUUCGUAGAUAUUCGGAAGAACACCAGUGGCGAAGGCGGCUCACUGGCCCGGUACUGACGCUGAGGUGCGAAAGCGUGGGGAGCAAACAGG